rnacentral:misc_RNA from 1 species
AAGGUGAUAAACGAAUCAACCUGAGAACAGGAUCCAGGAGUUCCAUCUCUUCCAAAACAAAGAAAGGAACUUGCAUGAGGAAGUGAAGGUUGAUUAAAAAUGACCUCUAAAUGUGUCGAUGAAGCUCUGUUAAAAUUGAAAAUGAUACGAUGCUCAAAAGAUGCCACGGAUGGAGAAAGAACCACAUUUGAUUUAGUAAAGUAGAUUGAUCUCUCCUUCCAUGCUUCUCGUAUGAUUAAAUCAUGCAACAGAUCAUGAACCUCGCAUGUUUUGACUUUGCCACUUGAGGUCCUUUUCUUAACCAAUAUUAGACUUCUAUCUAUAAGAUCUUUUAGGUAUCCCUCAGCAACUUCUUCGAA